CAGCAGAAGAAGAAGAAGCAGCAGCACUAGCGCCAAGAUGACGGACCAAGAAACUACGGUUUUAUAAACCCGGGUGACGGCAGAACUGCGAUGCCUGUUGAGCUGCGCAUGUUGAACUGUGCAGCCUAGUCGGUCUGUCCGACCAAAAUGGAUGAGUCCAACAGUUGUGAGCUGCUGUACUGAAUGUGCGCACCGCCCUCCUGCCCAAACAUUUGUGUAUUUUAAUUUUUUUGUUUCAAAAUGAUAUAUAAUCACAUUGUUAUAAAUACACCACAGCAGUCUUGUCCAGCAGCCUCCCAAAUGUCGUGAAAAAAACAAUAUUUGGGAGAAACUGGAAAUCCUAUUCAGUCACGAAGUUGUUUUUUAAAUAUUAAAAACAACUUAUAUUGAUGACAAGGUCAAAAUUACCAGUUGUGUGAUGCACACCACGGUAUUAUUCACUGAAGCCAUGGUCAAUAAGCUGCAUAGAAAGUUGUUUAUUCUGUUUUGAUAUUGUCAUUUUAAAAUGAAAUGCUUAUUUGUGUUUUUCCAUAAAAAUUGUGUGUAUUUACGUUGUUUCUAAGCUUAUGUAAAUAGACAUUGUCAAGUGUUCCCUCAAAAAAAUAAAAUUGGAUUUAGGACAACAAAAA